CAAAGGCUUGGUCCUGACUUUACUAUCAGCUCUAGCUAAACUUACACAUGCAAGUAUCCGCGCCCCUGUGAGAAUGCCCUCAGUUACCUGCCCGGAAACAAGGAGCUGGCAUCAGGCACGCUUUCACACGCAGCCCAAGACGCCUUGCUUAGCCACACCCUCAAGGGAACUCAGCAGUGAUAAACAUUAAGCCAUAAGUGCAAACUUGACUUAGUCAAAGCUUAGAGGGCCGGUAAAACUCGUGCCAGCCACCGCGGUUAUACGAGAGGCCCAAGUUGAUAGGUACCGGCGUAAAGCGUGGUUAAGGUUAACACAAACUAGAGCCAAACACCAUCAAAGCUGUUAUACGCACCCGAUAGUAUGAAGAUCCGCCACGAAAGUGACUCUAACCAUACCCCUGAAUCCACGAAAGCUAUAAAACAAACUGGGAUUAGAUACCCCACUAUGUAUAGCCUUAAACCUUGAUAGAAUAACACAACCCCUAUCCGCCUGGGAACUACGAGCACCAGCUUAAAACCCAAAGGACUUGGCGGUGCUUUAGACCCCCCUAGAGGAGCCUGUCCUAGAACCGAUAACCCCCGUUCAACCUCACCACCCCUUGUUAAGACCGCCUAUAUACCGCCGUCGUCAGCUUACCCUGUGAAGGAAAUAUAGUAAGCAAAGUUGGUAAAACCCAAAACGUCAGGUCGAGGUGUAGCGUAUGAGGUGGGAAGAGAUGGGCUACAUUCUCUACUAUAGAGUAUACGAACGGUAUAUUGAAACAUAUACCCAAAGGAGGAUUUAGCAGUAAGUAAAAAAUAGAGCGUUUUACUGAAACUGGCCCUGAAGCGCGCACACACCGCCCGUCACUCUCCCCAAGUUUAUUAAAACAUAUUAAUUAAAAAAUUAGCCAAACCAAGGGGAGGCAAGUCGUAACAUGGUAAGCGUACCGGAAGGUGUGCUUGGAAAAAC
rnacentral:ncRNA from 1 species